UAGCUCGUUAGAUGAACAACUUGUACAAGAUAUAUGGAAAGAGAAAAGAAGUACGAAAGGAGACGAAAAAAACACUUGAUCACGUGAGAAGGGAUGUUUCAAACAAAUUGGCCAACUCCAGCACGUGAUUCAACCAAAUGGUUUUCUCUUUCGUCUACGUGUAUUUUUUCCCUACGCUUUGAUUCUACGAGAGGGAGAGAGGAAUAUGAUUCGUUGUUCGGAAUUCAAUUCUGGUC
rnacentral:rRNA from 1 species